rnacentral:rRNA from 1 species
GACGUAGGGCGCGAGCGUUGUCCGGAUUUAUUGGGCGUAAAGAGCUCGUAGGCGGCUUGUCGCGUCGAAUGUGAAAACUCGGGGCUCAACUCCGAGCUUGCAUUCGAUACGGGCAGGCUAGAGUUCGGUAGGGGAGACUGGAAUUCCUGGUGUAGCGGUGAAGUGCGCAGAUAUCAGGAGGAACACCGGUGGCGAAGGCGGGUCUCUGGGCCGAUACUGACGCUGAGGAGCGAAAGCGUGGGGAGCGAACAGG